rnacentral:rRNA from 1 species
UGAACGCUGGCGGCGUGCCUAAUACAUGCAAGUCGAACGGGGAGUAGCAAUACUCUUAGUGGCGAACGGGUGAGUAACGCGUUGGUACCUGCCCCGAAGCGGGGGAUAACGGACCGAAAGGUCCGCUAAUACCCCAUGUGCUCGGUAACGAGUAAAGGUGAAAACCACUUUGGGAGGGGCAUGCGUCCCAUCAGCUAGUUGGUAAGGUAACGGCUUACCAAGGCGAUGACGGGUAGGGGACCUGAGAGGGUGGCCCCCCACAAUGGAACUGAAACACGGUCCCUACACCUACGGGUGGCAGCAGUAGGGAAUAUUGGUAAUGGGCGCAAGCCUGAACCAGCAACGCCGCGUGUGCGAUGACGGCCUUCGGGUUGUAAAGCACUUUUGACUGGGACGAGGAAGGACGGUACCGGUCGAAUCAGCCUCGGCUAACUACGUG